AUUACCGGUAUAAAAGCCAAUAUAUGACCUACGUUAUGAAGGCCCUUGAACUUGAAGACACUAUAAAGAAUUAUGAACGACGCUCGUCAACUGGAUGGAAAUAUGUUUCAACCCUCAGGCAUGCUCGAAAUGGGAAGUUGGGGUCCAUCUUAGAUACACUUGAAUUUAUAUGGCGCUGCAUCCUAAGAAAGCAUCUUCAGAAAGUCUUGGCUAUUGUACUUGGUAUCAUGUCCGCUGCAAUUCUUUUAGCCGAGGCCACCCUGUUACCAAGUGUUGAUUUAUCUCUUUUCUCAAUGCUUAUUAAAUUAGUCG
rnacentral:misc_RNA from 1 species